CCUACGGGAGGCAGCAGUAGGGAAUUUUCGUCAAUGGGCGCAAGCCUGAACGAGCAAUGCCGCGUGAACGAGGAAGGUCUUCGGAUCGUAAAGCUCUGUUGAAGGGGAAAAAGAGCGGAGAGCGGAAAUGAACUCCGAUUGAUAUUACCCUUCGAGGAAGUCACGGCUAAAUACGUGCCAGCAGCCGCGGCAAUACGUAGGGGGCAAGCGUUAAUCGGUUUUUUUGGGUGUAAAGGGGGCGGAGACGGCGAUGCAACGCCGGAGUGAAAGCCCUGGGCCCAACCCCGGGAGUGCUCUUGGAACUGCGUGGCUAGAGAGCGGGAGGGGCAGGCGGAAUGCCUGGUGUAGCGGUGAAAUGCGUAGAUAUCAGGAGGAACACCGGUGGCGAAGGCGGCCUGCUGGGCUGCAACUGACGUUGAGGCCCGAAAGCGUGGGGAGCGAACAGGAUUAGAUACCCCUGUAGUC
rnacentral:rRNA from 1 species